CAGGAUGGGCUGAUUUGGAGAAGCAAGCCGCCUAACAGAAGCUAAGCGCAUGUGCAUUAGAGAAGAGAAAUUUAGUCACUGGUAUAGGACAUCAAUCUCCAGCUGUUCUCUUAAUGCAGCAGAAGCAUGGAUAAGAACACAGCUCCUUGGAAAGCACCUUAGGAGUUGUUGGUCAGGGAGGUCCUAGAGGCUCCUGAAGCAUCACAGCCCACUUUCAUUUCUUUUGGGCAUCCACUAACACAAGGUGGUAAGACGUACUGCUGUAGAUACCAUCUACUUUGGAUGCAUGAUACAGAAAAGUCAAGCUGAAGUUUCCUCUUUUCUGGCUAUCAUUCAUAGUACCAGAAGGUUCUAUGCAGGCUACUGGAAGAGCAGCGUCAUUACCGAAUCUUACUGUGUGCUAUAUUACAGCCCUAUCAGGCAAGAUACUUACUGGUUCAGUAGUAUCAAGACUAUCUGGAGGAUAGCCAAGUGUUUUUAAAUUGUAUUUCAGGCCUGUUCCACAGGAGAGACUAUAUACUUGGCACCAUGAACCUGCUUAAAAGUCUAUGGCUGGGGAGUUUACAGACUAGUGCUGCUCUCAGCCUGGGUUAAGGGAGCGUCUUCAUGCAGUGGGCAACAGUGAAUGCAGGGACUUCACAGUGCUGAGAAGAAGUGACUGUUGAAUGCUUAGC